rnacentral:rRNA from 1 species
AGUGAACGCUGGCGGUAGGCCUAACACAUGCAAGUCGAACGGCAGCACAGUAAGAGCUUGCUCUUACGGGUGGCGAGUGGCGGACGGGUGAGGAAUACAUCGGAAUCUACUUUUUCGUGGGGGAUAACGUAGGGAAACUUACGCUAAUACCGCAUACGACCUACGGGUGAAAGCAUGGGAUCUUCGGACCUUGCGCGAUUGAAUGAGCCGAUGUCGGAUUAGCUAGUUGGCGGGGUAAAGGCCCACCAAGGCGACGAUCCGUAGCUGGUCUGAGAGGAUGAUCAGCCACACUGGAACUGAGACACGGUCCAGACUCCUACGGGAGGCAGCAGUGGGGAAUAUUGGACAAUGGGCGCAAGCCUGAUCCAGCCAUACCGCGUGGGUGAAGAAGGCCUUCGGGUUGUAAAGCCCUUUUGUUGGGAAAGAAAAGCAGCAGGUUAAUACCCCGCUGUUCUGACGGUACCCAAAGAAUAAGCACCGACUAACUUCGUG